rnacentral:tRNA from 1 species
GCCCUAGUAGCUCAACUGGAUAGAGCAGGAGUGUUCUAAACUCAAGGUUGGGGGUUCAAGUCCCUCCUAGGGCA